rnacentral:rRNA from 1 species
GUACACUCCUACGGGAGGCAGCAGUGGGGAAUAUUGCACAAUGGGCGCAAGCCUGAUGCAGCCAUGCCGCGUGUAUGAAGAAGGCCUUCGGGUUGUAAAGUACUUUCAGCGGGGAGGAAGGUGUUGAGGUUAAUAACCUCAGCAAUUGACGUUACCCGCAGAAGAAGCACCGGCUAACUCCGUGCCAGCAGCCGCGGUAAUACGGAGGGUGCAAGCGUUAAUCGGAAUUACUGGGCGUAAAGCGCACGCAGGCGGUCUGUCAAGUCGGAUGUGAAAUCCCCGGGCUCAACCUGGGAACUGCAUUCGAAACUGGCAGGCUAGAGUCUUGUAGAGGGGGGUAGAAUUCCAGGUGUAGCGGUGAAAUGCGUAGAGAUCUGGAGGAAUACCGGUGGCGAAGGCGGCCCCCUGGACAAAGACUGACGCUCAGGUGCGAAAGCGUGGGGAGCAAACAGGAUUAGAAACCCCUGUAGUCCC